CGGUCCAGACUCCUACGGGAGGCAGCAGUGGGGAAUAUUGCACAAUGGGCGAAAGCCUGAUGCAGCGACGCCGCGUGGGGGAUGAAGGCCUUCGGGUUGUAAACUCCUUUCGCUAGGGACGAAGAUGUAUUUUGACGGUACCUGGAGAAGAAGCACCGGCUAACUACGUGCCAGCAGCCGCGGUAA
rnacentral:rRNA from 1 species